ACAAUGUAAAGUCGGACUGAAUGGGCGCCUUUUUAGUCCAGUAUCCAGCUCUUAUAAUACAUCCAUGCUCCACACACGGAGCUCAGCAAAGCGGAGGACAGACAGACAGCGGUGGAGAGUUGGAGACCCUACCGAGUGGUUGUUUUGAAACUGUUGGCUGAUAGCAUCCCACUGGUGGCCAUCAUGGUUGACUCUAUAGAAUCCAAUGUGAUCAUGGUUGAUCUUCAGCAGGCCAUCCACAGAAGAGCUGAAGGAGGCUGGCUGGCAUCAGCUUUGGGAUCGAGGAGGAAGCGCUUUUGGCUCAGUUUGGCAGUCC